GCCGGUGUGGUGUAGUGGUUUGGUUGUUGGACUAUGGCUCUGGAUAUCAGGGGUUGAAUCCCCACUCAGACA